rnacentral:rRNA from 1 species
UACAGAGGGGGCAAGCGUUGUUCGGAAUUACUGGGCGUAAAGGGCGCGUAGGCGGCCUUCUAAGUCGAACGUGAAAUCCCUGGGCUCAACCCAGGAACUGCGUCCGAUACUGGAAGGCUUGAAUCCGGGAGAGGGAUGCGGAAUUCCAGGUGUAGCGGUGAAAUGCGUAGAUAUCUGGAGGAACACCGGUGGCGAAGGCGGCGUUCUGGACUGCAACUGACACUGAACGACGAAAGCCAGGGGAGCAAACGGG